GACGAACGCUGGCGGCGUGCUUAACACAUGCAAGUCGAACGGAAAGGCCCUGCUUGCCGGGUACGCGAGGGGCGAACGGGUGAGUAACACGUGGGUGAUCCGCCCUUCACUUCUGGGUAAGCCUGGCAGACUGGGACUAAUACCGGGUAUGGCCUCCCAUGUGGGGGGGGGGGUGGAGAUAUGUAGCGGUGUGGGAUGAUCCCGCCGCCUAUCAGCUUGUUGGUGGGGUAAUGGCCUACCAAGGCGUCGACGGGUAGCCGGCCUGAGAGGGUGGCCGGCCACAUUGGGACUGAGAUACGGCCCAGACUCCUACGGGAGGCAGCAGUGGGGAAUAUUGCACAAUGGGCGGAAGCCUGAUGCAGCGACGCCGCGUGGGGGAUGACGGCCUUCGGGUUGUAAACCUCUUUCGACAGGGACGAAGCUUCGGUGACGGUACCUGUAGAAGAAGCACCGGCUAACUACGUG
rnacentral:rRNA from 1 species